ACGAGAAGAGAUUGUCAACUUAGCCAAGAUUGACUGCCUGCAUGAUCAAACAAAAGGCUCUUAUUCAGAUUUCUCUGGUGAAGGCUCUCUGUAAGAUUUUAGGCAGGUCAUUCUUGGCUACGAAACAAAAGACUCUUCUCA
rfam:Eucalyptus grandis cultivar BRASTZ1 unplaced genomic scaffold scaffold_9, whole genome shotgun sequence.